rnacentral:rRNA from 1 species
UACGAAGGGGGCUAGCGUUGCUCGGAAUCACUGGGCGUAAAGGGUGCGUAGGCGGGUCUUUUAAGUCAGGGGUGAAAUCCUGGAGCUCAACUCCAGAACUGCCUUUGAUACUGAAGAUCUUGAGUUCGGGAGAGGUGAGUGAAACUGCGAGUGUAGAGGUGAAAUUCGUAGAUAUUCGCAAGAACACCAGUGGCGAAGGCGGCUCACUGGCCCGAUACUGACGCUGAGGCGCGAAAGCGUGGGGAGCAAACAGGG